CCUUGGCCUCCCAAAGUGCUGAGGUUACAGGUGUGAGCCACCAUACCUGGCCAAGACUUGUUUAUUCUUUUACACAGUCUAUUGCCAUUAAGACAUCAGGAAAUUUUAACCUCAAUAUAAUAAUAUCUAGUGGUCAAUCCAUAUUCAAAUCUCCCAAAUUGUCUUAGUAAUUUUUCUUAUGGCCAUUAUUUUCUGAACUCUGAAGUCUAGCCAGAGAUCACACAUGAUGUUUAGUUGUCACGUUCCUUAAGCCUCAUUUUAAAUCUGUAAUAGUCCUCCAGCUUUUUCAAAGUCUUUUUGUGACAUGUAGCAUCUUGAAAAGUCCAGGCUAGUUCUUGUGGAAUGUCCCCCAAUCCCAAAUUUUUCCCCCUGUAAGAUGCGAGGAUAUCCCAUCGGGACAGAGUGACCUUCCCCUGUGGCACCACAGGAAGUACACGGUGUCAGUCUGUCCCUUUUGUGGUGAUGUGUGGUCACGUGAAUAAGGCGGUGGCCACUAGAUUUCUCUGUGCUAUCAGGUUCUGUCUUCCUUUUGUGGUUAAGGGGCUUGUGGGGUGAUCUUUUGAGACUGGCGAACAUCCUAUUCCUAGCAGUCUUUCCCAGAAUGAUCUUUGCCUGAAUUGGUUAUUGCUUUGGUAGUUACUGUGCCGCAAUAUUUAACAAAAACAAAAGGCAGUUGUACUUUGGAAGCCAGAGAAAUGACUCCAGAGAGGAAGAAAGCCACAUCUUUUUAAAUUUAAUAAAACAAUUUGCUUUUUAUAUAUUAAAGUAAGACUUUUAAAUUUGUAAGUGUACAUAUCAAUGGGAUUUGAUAAAGUAGGAUUUGAAAUUUAUGAGUGUGAAUAUCAAUAAAGAAAUUCUAUAAUUUUAGUUAUAGAUUUUUAAAGGUUGUACUUAUACAUUUCUACAUUUUGCACACCGUAUCUUAAAAUUUGCAUUAAAAAUUUCCAGAGCUGAAUUCUUGUUAUUUGUUACUCUAGAGCUGAAUUCUUGUUAAUUAUUUUGAGUUAUUAAUUAUUUUGGUAAUUAUUGCAGUAUUUGGAACAAAAACGGGAAAUGCUCUAAACUCAUGAGUGAAAGAUUUCCAUGUAGAUAUCUCUCUGUAGAAAUAUCAUCCAAGGAAUUUAUGAAACACUGAAAGAAUCUGUUGUAUUUUGUAAGCAGUACUCAUUUGAGAAAUUGCUCUUGAUAAAUAGGUUUCACUAAUUAAAUCAUACACUUCUAUAGUACAUUACAUAUAAAACUAGACUAGGAAAUAAAUAUAAUUAAAGUAAACAUGCCCUUCUAAUUAGUAAUUGUUUCUGCCAUUUUAAGCAAAUUUGAGUCACAGAGAGCUGCUCCACUAUAAACCUAAUAAUGAAGCUUGUGAUAACAGGUGUAAAUUAACACAAUGGAAAACAUUUACACUGUAACAUGCUAAAUUAAAAAUGACAUUAACAAGUCCCAUUUUCAAAUUCUCUAUAAUUAACAUUUGUUCAACCCAGAGAUGAGUAAGUGCAGUACCACAGUAAAUGUCUUUAUUUAUAGCUUGGGAUAUUUGUUAGGCGUUAUCUUUGUUAGAUUGUAAACAACAGAGAUGCAUUCCUUCUUAAAUAUGUCAUGUUUAUAUAAUCUUAGACAGUUCUGACAAAGGGUAAGACGUGAUAUUUAUUGGUGCUGUUAUUGUGGGUAUUCUGCAGGUAUGCCACCAGAACAGCUUUGAUUGGGCUUGACAUGAAAUAUCGAGAGUGGGUUGAGAAUGGAGAUACGCAGGUACAACGGCAGUAACAUCUACAACAUGAUGAAAUAUUAGGAUUCCCUCGAGUGUUCCCCUCAUUGCACAUAUGUGCUUCUAAGUGCCUUGAAUCAGUGUUUGUUUCUGCAAAUAAGUAUUAUCUUAAAGGCUUUCUUUUAUGGUGCUAGUUAAUAUAAGCUAGAAAGCAGAGAACAGAGGAAACAGCUUUGUAGUGUAAUUUGUCACAGAGGACAUGAUGCUUAACUCCUUACAGAGAAUUUCAUCAGUACACUAAUGGGUGAAUAAGAAACUGAAGCAUUACUGCAUUGCUAAACAUUGGCUUAGAGCUAAUUGUUGACUUUCCUUAACUCAAGAUUUUAAUCACUUUAAUUGUAUCUUUUUUUAAAAAAAUUGUUGAGAAUACGUACUAUGGAUUAUUUUUUUGAAUAAUUAAAAAUGUUUUGAAGUUGUAUUUAGAUUGUUUGGAGUUUAUCCUCAUGGUGGAGGAUGGUAAUGUGAUAAGGACAGGUCUGUGUUGUGCCCUUGAGAGUGGUAAGACUCAGCAUUUACUGAGUUCUGGAGCUCACAGUCCCCUUGGGGAGAUAGAAAAGUAAAUCAGUGAUUGCAUUCAUCUUCUGUCACCACUGUGAGAGAGCCAAGGAACAAAGGGAAGGACUGUCUAAAUAAUGGAAUAAUGUAGUAGUGACAAAUAUUAUAAGAAGUUCAAUGUUUUAAAUAAAGUACAUUGAGUACACGUUAAAGGAAGAGUUACUAGUCUGCGGGGCAUGUGGCUCAGCAUUGCUCAAGAGUACUUUUAGUGAUGGUGGAGAGGCCCUAGAUCUGAGCCGUCCAGCACGGGUGCCACUGGCUCCACUGGCUGUUGAGACUGAGAAACUGAGCUUAUCAUUUAACUUAAUUUUAAUGAAUUUACAUUCAAAUGCCAUAUGUGGUUAGUGUCUGUUGUAGUGAAAAGUGUAGAUCUAUAUUUUUAAAGUCUUACGCUUAAAAUCAUUAUUUCAAGAUUUUUUUUUCUUUGCUGUUAAGAGAAGUCAUAGAUUCGUUUUCAUCCUGAGAAAUUCUAUUCUGAAAUAGUUUCAAACCCACUGAGUUUAGACAGUUGAAGUGUCUUUGUCAAGGUUUCAGUGUGAUGAAAUAAAGGCACUUAGUUGUGUCUCUGACUGCAGGCAGGUUCCUGCCCUCACUUUUCCAUAGCCGUCAGUCAAGGGGGAUGGUGCCUGCUCAAGAUGCCUGGCUGAGAGUGUGUGGGUGUCUGGUUGGAGCCCUGCUUUUAUAUAUUCAUAUAUUUUAUUUAGCUUUGACCAAAAAGUGAACAUAAAAACUGAGUCAUGGCAAUGAAAACUAACAGAUAAUUUAUAUAAAAUAAAUCUUGAUAUGACUAACAUUAAUUUAUUUAAAAUAAAUCUUGAUAUGACUAACAUUGGUCGAACACGACAUGUGAUAUUUUACUCCUUAGAAGCCCCAUGUGAGGUAAAUAGAAUCCUUCCCUCACAUUUUCUAGAUGGGAAACUGGAAGUGCCAGGAAAUGAAGUGAGGGAACUCAGCAGCAAGAGGACCUAGACUGCAGCCCAGUCCGACAGUGCCAGUUGAAACCUAGUUUUCCAACGAGGACCGCUUUCCUGCCCCUUCCUCUCCUCUUUUUCCUGCAGCUUAACACCUACCACUUAAUUGAAUAUUUACUCAAGAGGCAUUGUAGGUUAAUGGUUUGAGAACAUGGACUCUGGCAUCAGAUUUCUUGGUUUGAAUCCUGUUGUUACCGCUGGCUAGCUCUGGGGUUGGACACAUUAGUGGACCUCUCUUGUGCCUCAUUCCAUUUGUGUGUGUGGCACUAUACAGUAGGUAUAAGAUAAUGUAACCGUUAGCCGUUGUCAGGAUCAUUGUCUGCACCAGCUAAGUACAUGCCUUGCAUACAUUAUUAAUUCUGUUAUCCCUGUUUUACAGAUCAAGAAAGGUUUUCUUUUGAAGGUUGAGUUACUUGCCUUAGAUCAUGUGAUCAGCGGGUGGUAGACUAUCCUUGGAACCCAGGAGUGUGUGCUGUUGACCCUUGAACCGCUUAGGGCCUGGAAGUCCCAACCCUCGUGCAGUCAAACAUUCACAUAGAGCUUUUGACUUCCCAAAGGCUCAACUAUGAAUAGCUUCAUGUUGACUGGAACCCUUACCUAAACAGUUGAUUAACACAUAUUUUGUAUGUUAUGUGUAUUAUAUAAUAUGUACUGUAUAAUAUAUGAUAGAUAUUAUUCUUACAAUAAAGUAAGCUAGAGAAAAAAUGUUAUUAAGAAAAUCGUAAGCAAAAUAAAAUAUGUUUACUAUUCAUUAAGUGGAAGUAAAUCAUCUUAGAGGUCUUCAUCCUUUCUGUCUUCCCAUGGAGCAUAUUGGCUGAAGAGGAGGAAGAAGAGGAAGGGUUGGCCUUGCUGUCUCAGGACUGGCAGAGGUGGGAAAGAUGGAAGGAGGGGAAAGGGAGGCAGGAGAGGCAGGCACAUUUACUGUAAUUUUUAUCGAAAAAAAUCUGCAUGUAAGUGGACCCAUGGAGUUUUUAAAACCCAUGUUGUUUAAGGAUCAGCUGUAUUUUUGAAAGCUUUCACUUAAAAUAAUAAAUAUUCAUUGAUUCCCUUAAGGGGGAAGAUUUGAGGCAGUUCUUAGCGGAGUAUCUGACAUAGGGUGUGAACUCAGGCACGGCAGCUGCUGUUCUUGUUAAGAAGUACAUUUAUCUGCAGUUGGUUGGCUGUUUUCUGUGCCUCUUAGAGGCAGAGCAAGAAUACAGGAGUGCUGGUGAAUAUGUGACUGUUGCAGUGGGUAGUAACUGUGGCACUCAGCUGCUCCCAAGCUCAUUUGCGUAGUCUUCUGAGUGACCUCCCAGCAUUCUCUGACUACCACUGGUCACUUGAUUAAAGAAAACAGCCAGCUCCUCACUCUCCUCGCCUUCCCCACCUCCGUUGCCAUGGCCAAUCCCCCUCCCCUUCCUUUUGCUUCCCUUCCUGGCCAGCCACAUCCCUGAGUUUCACCAGGGAGGCUGGGUAGCUGAGGAGGUGCUUCUGAGCCUCUCUUGGUAAGGUUGGAAAUGAUGCUCUGGGCGGAGGCUCUUCUUCCCAAAGCAGAUUGCUGUCUUGUCCAUGUCCGCCAAGCUUGUUCCUGUCUUUCUCUCUACAUCUGUUUCCCUGCUUGAGGCAGUGGUCUGACUUGCUGGACAGCGAGGCAGCUGUGGAGUAUCCCCUGUGUUUAGAAACAGCACUGUCCAUUGAGAGGCCCCAUCAGACAUCCCCCAUAUUUGGUGGGGACUCUCAAUGGACAGUACUGUUUCAUUUUUCUUUGGCAUAUCUAUGGAUUAUUUUAAAGACUAUAAACCUGUUAAUUACUCCAAAGUAAAUCUCAGAGGUCCACCUGGGGCCAUUGAUAUGUUUACUAUAUUGAAGACUCAGUUGAUUGCCAUGCCGAUCAUUCAUUGGCAAGUGAACGGGCAAGCAUCCGUCCAGCCAUGCCGAUCAUUCAUUGACAAGUGAACUGGAAAGCAUCCGAAGGAAAAAAGUGUGAUAGUAUGCCUUUCUAUAUAUUGCCCAGGGAAGUUUAUUUUAUUUUUAGCUGUUGGCUACUGCAGUGGGACAGGAAAGUCAACUUAGCUGUUGAGAAUGAAAAACAGCUUGAAAAAAAAGACAUUGAGGUUCAUUGCACUCCAUGACUUGGGUAGACGGUUGAAAGGGGGUGGUGAGAAGGAGUUAUUCUGAAUACAUGCAGUGUUUUCAUUUAGAGAUGCAGAGGUUUUCUCUUUAUUUGUAUCUUAGUGGACGAUGACAGUUGAAAACAGAAGGAGCCACUUCCCUCAAAACAUAUAGCUGUGCAUGAAUACAUGGGGUGAGCUGUUUUCCAUGAGAGGGGCUCCUGCUUGGUGCUGAAAGGAUAGAAUGCAGGAUGCAGGUCCUGCCCUUCAGGUAUCCCUGGUGUAACUGAGAACUGUGCCAUCCUGAAGUAGGGUAAAGUGCAGAAGAGGUCAAGACAGCGGCACACCACACUCACAACUCCUCCAUGUGUUCAUUCCUGGCUCCGUGGGUAGAUCGGCUGGGAAGGAAACUGCCGAGGUGAGCUCUAAUUACCAGAGAUGGAGAUGCUCAGGUGCAAGCUGCCUAAUUACAAAAGCCCAGAACACACAUGCUCUCAGGGGGCCCACCAGGGUUAAAGAGACUAAAAAAAUAAUUUUGGCUGCGAAUUUAAAUGAAGAUGAACACCACGAGGAACUUUGUAUGCAGAAAUGGAGUACGGGCUUUCUCAAAAAAAUAAAAACACUAAUGCCUCAACAACAACUACAACAGAACCCCUUUGAGUUUAUUAUUUCAAGCCAGGUCAUGCUAGUUUCACAAGAGUUUGUGAAAAUGGAUGCACAUGAAUAGAGCCUUUUAAAAGCUCAGGAUUAAGGAGAAAGAUUUCACAGUUGAUAGUUUGGUAGAUGGCAGUCAUAAAACAAUUGCUAUUUGUUGUAUGUAUUGAUUAAAAAAAGUUUUAUUUUCUAAUGUCUUGCAUUAUGAAACUUUUUUUAAUGCAGCAGUUUUUUUCCUUUAUCUAUGUUCAAUUUCUUAGAAGAUAAAAAUUUCAAGUGCAGUGAAACUAUUUUGCAUCUUUUUCGGUAUUACAGUCUCCCCGUGUGUGGAAUUCAUUUUGCAUGGCCUCAGACCAAGUAUUUCCAAGCCCUGUCCUUAUAUAUAGCAAAGACAUGUAUUUUGCUCAUGCCUUCAAGCCUGGGAGUAACACAGUUUUGCUGUCAGAAGAAGAUGGUUGCUGAGGCAAGUGGGAACAGGCAUCCUGCACCAUGCUGUCCCACCUGCCCUUCCCGAUUGGAGCUGAGGCCACAGUUUUUUUCACCGCCAAAUUGAUAUGCUUUUGAACGAAGCAUCUGGUUCUUUGGCAGCUCCACAGGAGUAAUCUUGGUCGUUGGAGAGUUUCUCCUGCAUCUAUCACAUAGUUAUGUUAUCGAAAGGGUUCCUGGCAUUUUCACGUCCCAGUUUCUGGGCAUAGGAAUGCGAAAAAGCUGAAGUCUGUUUGCACUUGCAAAAGCCUCUUUGAAAUUUGUAGGGCUAAAAAAAAAAAAUUAUCUGUGUUAAAAAAAAAAUUCUUCUGGGUUGUUUCUUACCUGCAUCCAUGGAUGAUUUUUCAACUAUUUAAGUUUCAUACUCAUGUAUCUGGUAUUUAUUCCAAGAGAGAAACAUCAGUAAGACUUAUAGACAAGUAGUCUUUAAAAGUAUUCAUUAAGAAAGCUAAAAUAACAUUUUAAUAUUUUCUUAGUUUAAGAAUUGCAAAAUUCAGCAGUAUUUAUUGAGCAACUCUGAUGCUCUAGGCAUUUAGGUGCCAUACUAUGUACCAUGUUAGAAAGUUCAUAAAGUUCCUCAUUCUCAAAUCUCAGAGAGCUUUCCUAGCCUAGGUCAUUAGCAUUUCCAAAUGACUUGUCUUGACUUAAUAAUUUAUUCACAUUUGAUAUAUUCAACUAACUUUGAUUCCUUAAUCAUAAUUCAGUAUGCAGCUGUUAAUGAUUUUUCUGUGUUUUGUGGCUAUUUGUCCACUUGUUUCUCAAGUAUUAGCUCUAAGCAGGUGGGCUACCAUGUCUUUAACUUGCUUUAGCCACCUCCUGGCACAGCAUUCAUCUAUGUAACAAACACUUAUCGUAGACCUAUUGUGUGCCAGAUGCAGUUGUGGACCCUACAGUGGAAGCAAACUACUUUCUUGUUGGAGCUUAUAUUUUUGUGGUCCAGAUAAUCAGAAAAAAAAAAAAACUAAUAUAUUUCUGAUUGCAUUAUACUUACGCUCUAGAGAAAAUGAAGUGAGUGCUGGGAGCAUAAUGGUGAUUGCAGGUGAAAGGCAGCACUCAUGGGGUGGCUGUGGAGGGCCCUCUGUGGGGUGACAUUUGACCUGAGAUCGGAGAGUUAACUACUACACAGACGUUUUGGGAGAAAGCCUUUCAAACAAAGAAAAUAGCGGGGACAAGGACCUUUCUCUUAGCUCUUUCAAGGGACAAAGAACAAAGGAAGAAGGCCAGUGUGGCAGGGCAGAAUGAGUGAUGGUGGGGCUGCGCCGGGGGCUGGAGAGGUUGGGAUGGAGUGGGGGUGGUAGGGAUGGGCUCAGAGAACCUUGGAGGUGAUGUGAGGAUGUGAGGGGUUGGAUGUUGGAUAAACGUUUAUACUAAAUGCAUAGGGAAGCCAUGUAGGAUUUAAAGCCAGGGGAAAUAUGAUUUUAUUAAUGAUACAGGUUUAUUAAAUAAACACCAUUAUUAUAGUAGUAUUGAAAGUCUGUAUGUAAUUACAUACAAUAAUAGCCUGUGUACUUGUGAAGAUGCAAAUAUCUCUUCUAUAUGUUUGGUUGAAAGCUAAAAGAAAUGUUUUACACAAAAUGAGUCAAUGAAUUCUAUCUCUCUCAGUUUCUAACAGUUUAAUAUUCAUCAUCUGGAGAAGAUAUUUGCAGUUUUAUCUAUGUGUGGGCAUAAAUUGUUCAUCCGAGUAGGGCAUGCCAAUUUUACCUGAGGUCUCGUCUUAAUUUUGAUUGUAUAUCCCUUGUGGCUACAUGUCAAAAUAUGACAUAUCAGCAUUAGGCCAACCUGGAUUUAAUGACUAGGAAACCGUGGAAUUUAUAUGAUUUGGGGGCACGUGGGGGCUUUUCUAAUGCCGAUUCCAAGGAUAAGUGGCAUAGAAGUUAUUUGAUGAAUUGGACAAGCAUAAACUCUAGCUCAGCUUCCUGCAUGUCAUCUGAACACAAAACACUGAAGAUUAGGUGACUUAGUACUCCAGAAUUAAAAUCAUGAUAUUUCUUUUCCUGUUAACAGACUAUUUUGCUUAGCAUUACACUGUCUUUUAGGCAAGCAUUCACUGUGCCCCUGCAUAUGUAAUCUUUACUCACGAGUGAGGAAUUUUCCAAGGUAUAUGUUGAAAACACUGCUUCCUGAAAUCCAGCUGUGGUUGAAGCCAUACCUUUGCAAUGAGGCCCAUUUAGUAGCUUCCAUGUGAACCCAUCUAUCACUUGAGUGGAGCUAGAGAGUGUCAUAUGCUCACAAGGCUCUUAGUAAACUCCUUUGCUGAGAUGCUAUUUGUAGAGCCAUCAGUCACACACAGAUCUCAUCCUUGUGAAGUUAUUCAUUUGUGCAUGGGUUUUAGCUCUGCAUUGGCUUGCUUGGGAAGACCCAGAGACCUGGAUCAUGGCUUAACUUUCAUGGUGAUGAAACAGAGGCAGUAACCUGAUGAUGGCUUGACUUUGAGCCCCAGUGUCACCUGACCCUGGGAUGAUAUGCAUCAUGGCCUCCUUGGAGGGUGCAGCCAAGUGGGGCUGUCUCCUCUAAGAGAUCUGUCUUCUUGCUGCUCAGCGUCACUUCCCAGCCAGUCUAAAACACCGCCGCCUCCCCAAGCCCUAAAGCUGUGUUUUCUAAUACUGCUUUCACUUGUGAUAGUCCAUGAAAAAAAUAUUUGAAAGAAAUAGCAAGCCUGUCGGUAGCAGCAGAAUGAAGCAGGUGUACCAGAACCCUGGUUCUGCCUUGCUCUCAUAGGCGGGUGACCUGACAUCAUCCCUGGUCGUUGCAUCAACAUCCUGCACUCAUCAGGAGUUCAUGGUGGCCCUCUGAUAAAAAAAAAAACAAAAAAAAACCAAAAAAAACCCAGGACAUUUUCGUUUCUCUUAUUGCUAAUGAUUAGAAAAAGGAGCCAUGAUCUUGUUUUCCCUCCGCCUCUUACUGAGAAGAGGGUGGUCUCCAGGAACAUUUGGAGCCUUUGAAACCCAAAUGAUGUAUAUUGGCUGAAUUAGUAAAAUAAUUGCAUCUCAGCUGGUUGGAACUCUUUCCUGGAGCAAAGUAGUGCUGCAGUUAUUGGGUUGGAGGUCUCUCUUUGUGUGGAAUACUUUUUAGGGACUCAGGAGAGAUAGAUGGAAUUCCAAAUAAAGUGUCACAUUUUCUUUCAGGAAGGAGAUUACAGUCUAACAGGGUAGAUUAUAAGCAAUAUUUGUCAUAUUAAUAACACUGGCCAAGGAGGGGAGGCUUCUUGUGAAAGACCGUGAAGGGUCGAGAAAAGGGGGCAAAGGUAUGGGUCAUUCAGAUUGAUGAAAUUCCAGUUAGGAAGCAUGGCACACACAGUUAUUGGGUUUGCAGUGGUCCUUAGUGCUGAGGCAGAAGAUUGCAAGACCGAGGUCGUGAGUCUGCAUUGGAGAUUUACAAGAGAGAACAGGCAGUUGGUAUGGUCCGUGACGGUAUGGCUGCUGCACUUUGGCCUUCCUGUGGAGUUCUCCUGCAGGCCCUGCAGAUUUUGGUGUAUCCCGGGGUGGGAGGCUCUGGCUCUGCCUGCUACCGCUGCCCUCUCGGAGCUAAAAGAUACCCACUUACAGGUAACAUUGUGAAACUAAAAGAAUUUCAGCAUAAGAAAGUGGCUGUUGCAUGUAAUCUUCCUGGCACUAAAGAAACCUAUUUUAGAAACUUGGAAGAGAAACUGACCCAGAACAAGCUCAUCUUGAAGGGGGAGUUGAUAACCUUACUUCAUUUGUGUGAGUCCUGGGCCCAUGUGGAGCUGGCUAAAAAUGUCAUUUACAGGUACCAUGCAGAGAACAGAAAUAUCACUAUGGGGGAGUUUAAGUUCGGACCACUUUUCAUGAGGCUGUGUUACGAGUUGGAUCUUGAGGAAUCUGCAGUGGAGCUCAUGAAAGACCAGCAUUUGCAAGGUUUCUUCUCAGACUCCACAUCAUUCAGCAUUUUGAUGGAUAUGUUAUUUAUCAAAGGCAAAUAUAAAAGUGCUUUGGAAGUAUUGGUAGAAAUGAAAAACCAAGAUGUGAAGUUCACCAUAGAUAACCUAUGUUCUUGCUUUUGCAAUUUGCUACAAACUGAAUAGCCUGAGUCUUUUAAAAUCUGUACUACAUUAAGAGAAGAAGCCCUACUCAAAGGAGAAAUUCUCCCCAGGAGAAUAUCCUGUUUUGCUGUGGCAUUAGCUCUGAAUCAGAAUGAGGUGGCAAAAGCCAUGUCCAUUUUUUCUCAAAUCAUGAAUCCAGAAAGCAUAACCUGCACUAAUUUAAAUAUUAUACUCCAUAUGCAGUUAAAUAUGUUGGAAAACGUGAUAGAGAUACUAAAAAAUGCUACAGAAGGAAAUUUAUCAAAAUACGUGAAGAGACAGGUGUUCUCAGAGGAAGUGAAAAUAUAAGUAAUCAGAAGAGAAUGACUGCUACAUUGACAGCCUCUGGCCCCUUGCCCUAUUUACCCAUCAUGACUAUGGAUGCACCACUCAUGCCAGCCUCUCCAGUUGUGCACUGGAUCCCAUCCCCUCUGACCAGCUCCACAGCGUCAGUCCAGAAGUUGACUCACUCUUUUGGGCAUCAUCAAUAUCCCCUUCCCUGUGGAUCAUUCUUGUCAGCAGACAUUAGGAUAUAGUAUCUCUCAUCUUAAAAAAGAAAAAGAGUCUCCUGUACAAGUGAAAAGACAGACCAUGUGUGUAGACAAGAAGACCUAGCCUCAUGAAAACUGUUUUUUUGAAGUUACUUUGAUAAUGUAACAUGAAAAUAUCACUUUUUUUUUUGUAGUUACAGGUUGGAUGAAAAAACAAACAAGAUUAUCUAGAAAAACCCUGUGAAAGAGGGGCAGUAAGCAUUGCUAGAUCUAGCAGAUACCAAAGCAUGUUCAAGUUUCUAUAAUUCAAACUGUGGCUUAGGUCACGAAUAGGGCAGCUAAUGGGACAGAAUAGAAAGUCCAGAUACAGACAAAUCACAGAUACAAAUUUAGUGUAACAUAAAGGCAAAGGCAAGCAUCUCAAAUCAAUCUAAAUGGAUAGACUGGUAAGGAGUACUAGGAUAAGUAGAGAGCCAAUAGAAAAAGAUACACUUGUAUAUGUUUUUAUACCACAAACCAGGAUACAUUCCAAAUGGAUGAUAAUUUAAAUUUUUUAAUUGAAACAUACAAGUAGGAGAUAUAAACAUUAGUGGAUUCUUUAAUGUCCUGGAAGUGAAAAAACUUAUCUUUCAAUCAAAAUCCAAAUCAAUUAAAGAAGUGAUAAAUUUGACUAAAUAAAAAUGUUGAAACCUUUUUUGUGUGUGGCAAAAACUCCAUAAGCAAAGUCAAGAGGUAAAUAACAAACUAGAAGAGAGUACUUUCAGUUUUUAAUCAUACUGACAAAAGGAUAACUAACUCUAAUAUUUAAAGAGCUCUUUUUGGGGCCAGUCGCAGUGGCUCACGCCUGUAAUCCCAGCACUUUGGGAGGCCGAGG